rnacentral:rRNA from 1 species
UACGAAGGGGGCGAGCGUUGUUCGGAAUUACUGGGCGUAAAGGGCGCGCAGGCGGCCCUUGAAGUCAGGCGUGAAAGCCCCGGGCUCAACCUGGGAGGUGCGCUUGAUACUCGAGGGCUUGAGUGCGGGAGAGGAGAGUGGAAUUCCCAGUGUAGAGGUGAAAUUCGUAGAUAUUGGGAAGAACACCGGUGGCGAAGGCGGCUCUCUGGACCGUAACUGACGCUGAGGCGCGAAAGCUAGGGGAGCAAACAGG